ACGAACGCUGGCGGCGUGCCUAAUACAUGCAAGUAGAACGCUGAAGGAGGAGCUUGCUUCUCUGGAUGAGUUGCGAACGGGUGAGUAACGCGUAGGUAACCUGCCUGGUAGCGGGGGAUAACUAUUGGAAACGAUAGCUAAUACCGCAUAAGAGUAGAUGUUGCAUGACAUUUGCUUAAAAGGUGCAAUUGCAUCACUACCAGAUGGACCUGCGUUGUAUUAGCUAGUUGGUGGGGUAACGGCUCACCAAGGCGACGAUACAUAGCCGACCUGAGAGGGUGAUCGGCCACACUGGGACUGAGACACGGCCCAGACUCCUACGGGAGGCAGCAGUAGGGAAUCUUCGGCAAUGGACGGAAGUCUGACCAGCAACGCCGCGUGAGUGAAGAAGGUUUUCGGAUCGUAAAGCUCUGUUGUAAGAGAAGAACGAGUGUGAGAGUGGAAAGUUCACACUGUGACGGUAUCUUACCAGAAAGGGACGGCUAACUACGUG
rnacentral:rRNA from 1 species